CUGUGUCAGCUUAGGACAGAAGAGGACCCUUACACUGACAUGCAUUUAGCUGCAGAGCACACGGCGAGCGGCUAACCUCUGCCUCGGUUCCACAUUCCUGAGAAAAAGAAUCUCAUGGGCUAGUUUCCAUUAAGCCUCUAUCACGGUCCCGUCAGCUGUAGUUGAGACAAUGGUCAGGUAAGUAGGUGCUGGAAGGGAAAGGCAUUCUCAGUUUAACAAAGUAUUUUUAAUAAAGUCACAAUAGCAUGAAAGUUAAUAAUAAUGAGGUUUCUAAAUACCCUUUCCAAUGUUGUUCAUUGAAGUUCAUUAAGUACUAUUCAAAUAGUACUUAAGUUUUUAAAACUAUCCCCCAAAUGCUUCAGAGCCAUCUGAAAUGGUUGCUGGGUUUAGACUUCCCUGACACCUGUGAUGAGUCACAAUUUAGUCAUCAAUGUUAGUGUUCUACUCUCAUCAUAAGGGCCUGUGAGGAAGGUCAAGGUGGUUUGCAGUGGCUUUUCUGGAAAAUCUUCCAGAAGACUCCAAGCUCUAUUGUCUGCAAUUAGGAUAAUAGGCGUGGCUUCCGUCAGAAGGCUCCUUUCAGUUCUGUAAAAGUUCCUAUUGUAGUUGAGAAGAUGUCCCUUUUCAAAGCAUGCUGAAUGGAACCGAGCAACUCAGAUGUUCUACACUAACAGAAAAAUUAGUACUACCUUUGACUUCUGAUAGCCCUAAAAAACUAUACAGCUAUAUUGGAGGUGAGCAAGAAUUGCCAUGGACAUGGGCCUGCCUGGGAGGCUGAGUGGGCAAGAGUAACUUGUAACCAGAAGUGAGUAACUCUCCCUCCUUUCCCAUCUCACUGCUCUUUUCCCUCCACUCCUGUCUCCCUAAGUUUACACUCUCUAACAAAAGAGUAGCAUAUGCCAACACAGCCUUUGCUUUAUGGGGACCCAAAUUAAGACAACGGCAUUAAAAUUUAUUUUGCACCUUGCACUUGGGUUCACAGCCAAAGUGCAUUAAAAAAAUAGCAAAAUUGUGAUGUGAUAAUUAAACUCUCCUCUGUGUUAUUGAAGAGUUUCUUAUCUGGGUCAUGGUAAAACUGCAUCAUAACUGCAGUCUUAUGGGUCAUGUUAAAACGGCAUAUAUCUUCUCACAGAGAUGGAGACAUUUAUAACAUCUGCCUGGCAGCUUGCCCAUCCUUGAUUGCAAAAGGGAAUAAAAGCACCUUAGAGAGUAACAAAGAUGACAUGAAAUUUUGAAAGAGAAAAAGAGAGAUGGGAUUGAUUGAGAAAUAAUAUUCUCAUAAAAACUCA
rnacentral:lncRNA from 1 species